rnacentral:lncRNA from 1 species
AACACAAUCAAACAGUUAAGAUGUAAUCUUUUGCAAACUUAAUUUAUAUUAUCUUGGAACAAAACAUACAGGGAGAAUGGUUGAAUUCGUUACCUUGAACAACAGCAACCAAAACCAGCAAAUAUAAGAUAAACAAAACUAGCUGAAAGACUCAAAAGAAAUAGAGCAACAGCAGAAGCCAAACAGACCAGCAACCAAGAAUCAAAACCAGAUUUCAACAGCAGCUAACCAAUAGUAAAACCCCAAAGAGAAAACUAAGAAAACCUUCACUUUCUAACCAUAUUUUCAUCUUAUGAAGACUAGAAGAAAUCGGGGAGUUCUUUGAGUGUUUUUUUUUUCGUAAAUGAAAGGAAAGGAAUCUGCUUCCAAGAACACAACAGAUGAAACUUUUUUUAGAAGGUAUUCUUAGGGGAUUUUUCAGAUCUGAUCCCCAAUUAGUGAAUGUCUAACUUUCUUUUUAUUGGGAAUAUCUAGAAAAUAGCAUCUAGGAAUAUUCUACCCUAAAUUCCUUACAUAGUACAACCUUUUUUGAUAGAGAAAGCAGACAUUUGUCUAUUUUUAGCAUCUUCUAAAAUAAUUUUUGGGCAGCUGUAUACUUCUAGAACCUUCUUUUCUUAGAUAUUUUUUGAAAAUUUAUCCUAAGUUUCUUUUAAUUCAAUUAAGUCCCUAUAAGUUCUAAUAAUUUACAAAUCAAGGAUCAAAAUCCAAAUUAAAAAAGGAAAUUAGAAUCAAAAUUAUGCAAUUUAAACUUAAGACUAAUCUAAUCAGUAGACAAAAGCAUUUAUCUAAGUAAACCUAAACAAGACUAAACUUAAACGGCGAAAUAUAUUUACACCACAACUAAACAAGAAUUAUCAGGAAAAACAAAAACCCAAAGGAAUCCUAGAAGUUAAACUACUCAAUGCAUGAAUUAAUAUAUUAAAUAUAAUUACAGAAUAUAGGAGGGGAACAGUUUGAACCAGAGCAAUGGAAGCAAGGACAACAUGAACAAUUCACCAAAAGCCCUAGUUAAGCUAAAACCAUGCAAAGUGAAAUGAAGUCUCAGCAUGCUUGGAUUAUUCUAAUGAUCAAUGUAUAAAUAAAUAACUAACAGUUUAAAAGAAGAAAAAAACCUAAAAUCAUGCUUUUAAACUAAGACAAAAACAUGAUGAGGGAAAAGAAAAACCUAGGCAAGGAAAGAAUAACAGAACAUAAAGAGGAAUUACCUACGCUAAACGUGAGACACGGACUGGACUUGAUGAACCUGGCUGGAGUUUGGAACUGAUUCUAGUAGGUUUGAAAAACAAACCAAACCCAUAUGUAUCAAUUGCUCUUGUCAAGAGCAAGUGACUCAUGUAGUUUGAACCAUUUAGUCUUCCGGAAUUAACUCAAUAUAGACCUUUAGCGUUUUCAAAUUUUCAAUCUAGAAAAUCUUGAAUUUGAGGGGCCUUUUAGGAAAACCAGCAAGGUAUUAGGGGUGAGGUGAGUAAGGAGAUGGCUUGGUGAAAUUUUGGGUUGAUUUAAAGAGAUUAGGAUUUUGAGAUUCUGAUCUUAGAUCUAAGAUUCGAAACUUUUGGCAAGGAUUUGAGGGAGAUGAGUUGGACAUUUAAAAAGGGAAGGGAAAGGAGGUCAAAGGGUGUUAAUUUGGUGGGGUUUGGGAUAUCACCGUCGCCCUAGGGUGAUUUCCGACGGCAGAGCCGGUGAAGGAAUGAGAGGGCGGCUAGAGUUUUAACGGAGCUAGAGAUGAAGCUGAAAUAGGGGAGUUCAAUGAGGGGUGUCUGAGGUUCAGACAGUCUUAUACUAAAUAGACGACCAGCUUCCAGCCAUUAGAUUGAAAAUGAUCAACAGUUGCGAUCGAAAAGGGGGAAUACGAUGUUGUUUUAGAAGGGGGCUGGACCGGGUAUUUGAAAGAGAAUUGGGCUUGGUUUGGCUUGAUCUAGAAGGGGUCUUGGCAUUAAAAUGGCCUAGAUUAAAAAACAAAUCCAUUUUCUUCAAUUAACCUUUUAUUUUCUUUUUCUUUUGUUUUUCUUUUUCUUUUUCCUUUUUAAUUAAAAAUUCUAAAUUACAUAAUUAAUUGAAAUUGUAAAAUUAAGAUAAUAUAUAAUUAUAAAUUUUAUAAAAAUUACUAAACUAAACUAAAAGAGAGAAAUCACUAAUAUAAGAACUAAAAAAUAAAAAAUGUAAAAAUGAGCCAUUUUGUGAUUUUUAUUUUCAAUAAAACAAAAAAUUAACUAAUUAUCCUAUAAAUGUAAAAGAAAAAUAUAACUGCAAUGCAUGGUAUUUUUUUGAAUUUUUUUAUGAUGAUUGUUUUAUUAACAAAAAUUAACGUGCACAAAAAUACAAACAAUUAAUAAAAUCCUACAAAAAAACUAUAAAAUGGCAAAUAAUUGAAAAAAAUCUAUUUUUUUUUAUUUUAUAGGAGUAUUUUGUAUAGGAAAAAAAUCACAUGCUCACAAUAUUAACAACAGAAGUCGAGAAAAAAUGGGUCUAUGGCUGGAGAAGAAAGGUCCGAGGAGUCGACAGUGCCCAAGGUGAACGGGUAUGUGUACACAUGAAGAAAACCGGCCUUAUGGUCCGUUAUGUUAUCCUUAGGGCUAGGGAUCUCAACCAGCACCUUUUUAUUCCAUUGGUAGUUCGUCUGCACUUUGCUUAUGUCUUUCACAACGCUAAUGAACUGGGAUACGUGUUCGCAUCGACCCGGCAUAAAUGAAGGUCUCUCAAUGGAAAAAUCCUUCGAGCUAUUAAACUCGAUGGGUGUACACUAUUCGACGGUAGGAGCCACUUUGAGCUUAUCCUUAGAUUUGCUUUUGGAUGUUCGAGAUGAAGAGGCAACCUCGUCUUUUCGAGGAACUGUUUUAGAAGUUCUAGCCAUGGUGAUGGAAAGGUUUUUCUAAGAAAGUAGGUAAACAAUCAAGAACGGAAGAAAAAAUAAUGUAAACGGGGAUGGAUUUGGCCUUGAAAGCUUGAAGAUCUUAUAAACGUGUGAAUUAUCAAACACGUUUGAUGCAUUUAUAGAAGUCAUAUGGGCAGCGGAAAGGACAAAUUGAUAGUGGUUUAUGGGCGUCUCGAUAGUCGUGUUUGACAAUGACCCAUGUGCGGUUUUCGAGUUAUGACAUUAAUGCUCUGAUAGGCUGACGUCAUGAUGAUGAUGCUUAAGGAGUAGGAGUUCAAAACCGUUUCCUAUCACUUUGUUCUAGGAAACGCGAGGACUAUUUGUAUACGAUAGAAAUUAGCAAGUUCGAUUUCACAAUCAUCAAGGCAUCUCGAAGGUUUCCAGUGAUCGACUUCGAGGGUUCCUCAAUGUUCGACUUCGAGGUAGUGUAAGCAAUGAUCGGCUUUGAGGCGGUGUAAAUUGGUGGUUUUGGGGAAUUAAUGUGAGGUUCGCAAGGCACGUGACUAGAGGUGACAAAGUUUGGUGGACUAGUCCAAAAACGAAUCAAGGUAUUAAAUGGUUGUACCAACCCAUAUCUUUGCAAUUAAUACAUUUGUACUAUGUUGGGAUUUUCUCUCAUAUAUAAAGGGGAUCUCUAUCAUUUUGUAGACAUCUAAUGCAAAAUACUAAAUACACAAGAACAUUAUCUCUGCUCGCAACAUAUUUUCUUGAUUUUAUUACUUCAAUUUAUUGCUUAUAUUCAUUAUAUUCUAUUUUUGUUCUUCAUUUAUCGCUUAUCAUUUUCCAUAAAGAGCAAUCAUUGAUUUUAUUAAAAUUGUUAGUCAUCCAUCGACUACCCUCGAUUGCUUCAAGCAGUCUAUCCAACUCGACCUCGAAGCCACAUAUACAACGGCUCGAGGCCCCAUUAUCAGUUCAUUUGGUUUGACUUUUGCAUCACUUUUAAGCUAUACUCUUGCCUUCUAAUCUUUCACUUAAUAUCUACAGCCUAACGACUAGCAUAAAAAUAGAUUAUGCAUUUUUAGAACCACAUAAUCAAAUUCAAUUAUCAUUACCAUUUUCACGAUAAACACUAUUAUAUUCAUGAAUACAGUAACUUAAAUACAUUGAAUACAUUCUAGCAAAAGUGAAAACAUAGCAAUAAGAAGUAAUAUAGUAAAUGGUAGCUAUAGCUAGCUAAUAACCACUAACCAAUAGUGGUUUGCAAAAAUUUCUCUUUUAUUUACUAAUAUUAAUAGCUAUAAAAUUUAUUAGAACAUUUAAAAAUUCUAAAUCCAAUCUUCAAAUAAUAUCAUAAAAGAUAAAAUUCUAAAAAUUAUUUAAAAAAUAUAAUAAUUACAUUACAAAAAGUAUAUUUAUAUAUUAAAUAUAUCUAAAAUUUCUAAUAUAUAUAAUAUCGGGUUUGUUUGAUUUCGAUUUGACUUUCUUUAGUUAAAACUAAACCAAACCAGUUAUGAUCAAAUUUUUCCCAACACAAAACCAAAUCAUAAUCAGAUUUGUUUUCUUGAUUUAUCUUAAGUUGUCGGAUUUAUGUGAUUUAUCUGAUUUCUUUUUGUACGCCCCACUUGCCUUAUCUGGAUUUUAGGGGUUUCGCAGACUAAAUUUCAAGACCACGAUUAAAGUUUGUGCCUUGAAAUAUAAUAGCACGUUUACCCAUACUUCUAAAAUCAACUUAUUUUACAAAGUAUGCUUUUCAAAAAAAAUAUAUUUAAGGAGAAUGAACUCAUCAAUUUAAAAAGCAUAAUACUUCAUGCUAAGUCAAACUUUUAAAAGUACUUAUAAAUAUUUUUCUCAAAAAUACUUUUCAGAAAAGUACUUAGGGAAAAAAACUACUUAAUGCUUCUCAAAAAACUACUCCUACUACUUCUCAAAACCACUUUUUCUCUACUAAAACCUAGCCAACACCUCAACUUUGGAGAAAAGCACAAAAGGAAAAAACCACAACCAAACAAGCUAUAAGUAAAGCUCCUAUGUCAGACUUUCCACUAAAGGUUGGAAAUAUGGUCCAGCAAUCAAGGAUACCAAAAUCAAUUAAUAAAAUGGAACUCAGAACCAAGGACUGGCAAAUACUGUAAGUUGUGCGAGUAAACAUUAGGAAUUUUCUGAAUUUAAUAAUUUUGAAUUACAGCUACACAUGACAAAACAGCCGAAGAUAUGAAACGAGAGUCACAUGAAAAUACUGGAGGAAGUCUUAAGCACUUUGAGUAAAAUAAAAGAUCCAAGGACAAGAAGUUACUGGUGCUGUAAUUAUAGACGAUCUAUUGAGCAAAGUGUUAAUGCGUCUAAUGUCCAACAACUAGAUAAUGCCAUUCGUAUUGGCCAUCAUCUACUUCCACAGCUUUCGCAGUGACAUGUUCUUCUCCGUCUCUUUCUUCAUUACUUUGGCGACAGCCAUCUCAAAAUCUUCUUGAGUCACAUGCACCCUUCUCUCCCUUAGAGCAAACAUCCCUGCUUCUGUACAUACAGCCUGCAAAUAGAUAGAGAAGGAAUAGAUCAUGAUCAAGCAAAAAAAAAAUACAAAAGUACAAGAAAUACAUUUUGACUCGCGUUGAUUCAUGCAGCACGCAAUGUCAAGGCAAAAGGUGGAUUAGUUCAUCACAUACUAGAUCAGAAGUUUCAA